rnacentral:lncRNA from 1 species
UCAGGGAUGAGCUUUCUCUCUUUAAAUGCUAUAUCCGGUACGUGGACGAUAUCAUGACAGUGUGGAGGAGUGAUGAAUACAUUGACGAGUUCCGGGCGGCUAUGACUUUGGGACGGUGCGGACUCGCGCUUGGGAGGGGGCGACUUGGUGACGAGCAGGUCCACUAUCUUGGCAUCGGUGUGCAGAGGUUGAGGGUUGUGUGUUGGGGACGGCUGUUUGCAGGGGGCCUUUCUGUCGACCGGUGCUGGUCCCGUCAUGGUCCCCGGAUCCGGCACGGUGUGAAGCAGCGGAGUUUCAUUUUUGUUUUAAAAGAG